AUGUCAGCUACUACUGGUGCUACUACUCAAACAGAAGAACACGUUUCCUUGAAGCUUCUGUUUAAUGAAAAGGGUAACAAAGUCCUGUUUGCUGAAUCUGGGAAGGACUUUGUAGACAUUCUAUGUAGCUUCUUAACAAUGCCUUUAGGAACAAUCGCAAGACUUGUAGAGAAGCAAUCAAGCAUAGGGCCAGUCACUCUUGGCUGUCUUAACUCACUCUAUCAAAGUGGCUGA